UCCAUCACUUUGGUCCUUUGCAACUUAUUUGUUAUUAAAUUUAAAAUGGAAUUUCAUUUAUUAUGACGCUGAAGUGAACACUUACCCGUACUCUUAUAGAUUAAUUACGAGAGAGAUUUCAUCCUUUAUCUCUCUUAUCUCUAGCCAAAGCCAAACAAUAAAAUUUUAUCUCUCCCCACCUAUUUUCAGCCUUUGCAAGAACUCCUCUUGCCACAAAUUAAUUCCAUCAAAAAUAAUAAUAAAUAAAAAAAACAGAAAAAAAAAUUAAUCCUUGUUUUUAGUCCCUCUGUUAUGGGAUGGUAUCUCUCCCAUGUCUGAGUAUGAGUAUCGUAGUCGGCAGCUUACAUUAAUGUACGAAGAAAACAAAAAUAGGAGAGGGAAAGAAAGAGAAGGCAGUGGAAGAUUCAAAGCCAAAUAUUAAUAAUAAUAAAAUAAUCUAACAAUAAUUUAAACUAAAAAAGAAAGAGUUUUUUAAAUAAAUUAAACCGUCCUUUGUUUUAUUUAUUUAUUUAAAUAUUUUAUAGUUAGUCUCAACAAUCUCGUGUUCCAAUAGGGAGUGAGUCGGUCGUGAUGUCCCACGUCUCCUCAGCCUUUAUAAAUAUGACCCUUCCCUUACCAUUCUUUCUCCACCCACCUCUUCAGCUAUAGCUCUCUUUAUUUCAUUAUUAUUAUUAUUACUAAAUAUUGAGAGUAUUAUACUAAGCCUUAUUUUUAUUUUCCAUUUUAAAUUUCAUUUUCAAGCUAAAGUAGUACUAUUUAGAUUCUUGUUGGAGUUCUUGGUUUGGUGUGAUGAUUCCAAAGUAAAGGAGAAUCUGUAAAGCUCAGGAGGGAUAGCGCCGUGAGUAUGUAACUUAUCUUUUUUACAAUGAAAAAAGGGGUUUCAGAAAAGCUUGUACUGGCGCUAUCUAUCCUGAGUUUCAUGGCUUCUUCUUACUAUAUAUCUUCCUUACAAAAUCAGAUUCUGCACUCAAUAUAUAUUAGUUUGGAGUCAACGGUUUCAUCUCUUGGUUUAAUAAGAUUUGUUCAUAUCUAUUAAUAUUCUUGUAAUAUAUCUUCGCAUAUACCGAUUAUUGUUGGUAUAUAAUUAAUGUGUACUUUUGUUUAUUGAGCUUUAAAGAUUUGCUUCGAUUGUGCACCAGCUGUUGAUGAUGGGACUUUCGUUAUGGUGAAAAGCUGUUGUGUUCCGAGUCUUUAUGUGUUCUGUCUCCAAGCGUGUGCAAAUGGGGUAAGGUCUUUCCUUGGAGAGGGAAGUAAGGUCUUUCCUUUGACCUUGGUAUUAACUGUAUUCAUAUUAUUAUUAUUUUUGUUUGUUUUUUUUUAGGGAAACUGUAUAUUUAUUUCAUGGGGUUAUAAUAAAUUGAUUUUCUUGGAUUUUGCUUACCGGAAGAGUUAUAUAUAUAUAUAUUUAUCCAUGUAUAUGCAAAGUAUGUAUAUUCUUAUGAUUCAUUUUAGUAUAUAAUUAAGGUCUAGUUUCAAUAGAUCUCACAGAUUAUUUUAAAAUUGAAAAGAUAACGUAUACAUAUUUAUGACCAAAACGAGAACAUGGUUUCGUACUUUGAUCUUUGAUAAUCUCUUCUCCUAAUAACUCAAUUUUUUGCUUGUAUAUACAUCUAAUUUCUUGCUGGAUUUACUUGCGUAUAUUUCAAAUACAUGCCACUCUUCAUAUCAAAUUUUCUUUAAAAAAAUUAAAGAAACUCUUUUCUUGAUGGCAGAUUUUUUGGGGAUUUUGUUGGGAUCUUGGUUUGUUCCGAUGAAACCCUAGCUUGAUACAACUUUUUAGUUGUUGCAGCUGUCUGAAACCCUAAUCUCCUCCGGAAGAAGUGUUAGCAGUUAUCAGAAAGCUGAGCUAGGGUUUUUAUGCCUUGACUGGAACUUUUGCAGGCUUUUGAAUAAUGUGGAUGUUGACUACUUUUCCAACUUUCAUCAUCAGAGCAUGGACUCGUGGCUUUUCUCUUGUGAAGUAUAUACUAUAACAAAGAACAGAAAUCCCAUAUGAAAUUCUGUCCCAAAUUUGCUGUCCUAUUUCCUGACCCGUUCAUAUUAAAUAGCCACGUGUCUUUGCAUUAAACCAUUGUUGAACCGUGUUUGGAAAUUGAAUAUAAUGACAUCAAAAUAAAAUUUCUAUCAA